UUGACAGCCCUGGAGACUGAAGUUUUCUGUAUCCACAGAACAGGGAGAGCACAGAUAGAACAGUAAAAGCAUGGGCCAUCUCAGACAACUCCACCAAUGAACUUCAACCCUAACUUGCACUCAGGGACCUAUUUUACAGACCUGUCUACCCAAAGGAAAAUUUUCAAUAACUUGCCAUCGCUGCUAACAUCAGUUCAUCU
rnacentral:sRNA from 1 species